UGGGGAAUAUUGCACAAUGGGCGCAAGCCUGAUGCAGCCAUGCCGCGUGUGUGAAGAAGGCCUUCGGGUUGUAAAGCACUUUCAGCGGGGAGGAAGGCGAUAAGGUUAAUAACCUUGUCGAUUGACGUUACCCGCAGAAGAAGCACCGGCUAACUCCGUGCCAGCAGCCGCGGUAAUACGGAGGGUGCAAGCGUUAAUCGGAAUUACUGGGCGUAAAGCGCACGCAGGCGGUCUGUCAAGUCGGAUGUGAAAUCCCCGGGCUUAACCUGGGAACUGCAUUCGAAACUGGCAGGCUAGAGUCUUGUAGAGGGGGGUAGAAUUCCAGGUGUAGCGGUGAAAUGCGUAGAGAUCUGGAGGAAUACCGGUGGCGAAGGCGGCCCCCUGGACGAAGACUGACGCUAAGGUGCGAAAGCGUGGGGAGCAAACAGG
rnacentral:rRNA from 1 species